rnacentral:rRNA from 1 species
GGGCGUAAAGCGCACGCAGGCGGUCUGUCAAGUCGGAUGUGAAAUCCCCGGGCUCAACCUGGGAACUGCAUUCGAAACUGGCAGGCUUGAGUCUUGUAGAGGGGGGUAGAAUUCCAGGUGUAGCGGUGAAAUGCGUAGAGAUCUGGAGGAAUACCGGUGGCGAAGGCGGCCCCCUGGACAAAGACUGACGCUCAGGUGCGAAAGCGUGGGGAGCAAACAGGAUUAGAUACCCUGGUAGUCCACGCCGUAAACGAUGUCUACUUGGAGGUUGUGCCCUUGAGGCGUGGCUUCCGGAGCUAACGCGUUAAGUAGACCGCCUGGGGAGUACGGCCGCAAGGUUAAAACUCAAAUGAAUUGACGGGGGCCCGCACAAGCGGUGGAGCAUGUGGUUUAAUUCGAUGCAACGCGAAGAACCUUACCUGGUCUUGACAUCCACGGAAGUUUUCAGAGAUGAGAAUGUGCCUUCGGGAACCGUGAGACAGGUGCUGCAUGGCUGUCGUCAGCUCGUGUUGUGAAAUGUUGGGUUAAGUCCCGCAACGAGCGCAACCCUUAUCCUUUGUUGCCAGCGGUCCGGCCGGGAACUCAAAGGAGACUGCCAGUGAUAAACUGGAGGAAGGUGGGGAUGACGUCAAGUCAUCAUGGCCCUUACGACCAGGGCUACACACGUGCUACAAUGGCGCAUACAAAGAGAAGCGACCUCGCGAGAGCAAGCGGACCUCAUAAAGUGCGUCGUAGUCCGGAUUGGAGUCUGCAACUCGACUCCAUGAAGUCGGAAUCGCUAGUAAUCGUGGAUCAGAAUGCCACGGUGAAUACGUUCCCGGGCCUUGUACACACCGCCCGUCACACCAUGGGAGUGGGUUGCAAAAGAAGUAGGUAGCUUAACCUUCGGGAGGGCGCUUACCACUUUGUGAUUCAUGACUGGGGUGAAGUCGUAACAAGGUAACCGUAGGGGAACCUGCGGUUGGAUCACCUCCUUACCUUAAAGAA